CCAGACUCCUACGGGAGGCAGCAGUGAGGAAUAUUGGUCAAUGGUCGUAAGACUGAACCAGCCAAGUAGCGUGCAGGAUGACGGCCCUAUGGGUUGUAAACUGCUUUUAUGCGGGGAUAAAAUGCGUCACGUGUGAUGUUUUGUAGGUACCGCAUGAAUAAGGACCGGCUAAUUCCGUGCCAGCAGCCGCGGUAAUACGGAAGGUCCGGGCGUUAUCCGGAUUUAUUGGGUUUAAAGGGAGCGUAGGCCGCAUGUUAAGCGUGCCGUGAAAUGCCGUGGCUCAACCAUGGCGCUGCGGCGCGAACUGGCUUGCUUGAGUGCGCGGAACGUAUGCGGAAUUCGUGGUGUAGCGGUGAAAUGCAUAGAUAUCACGCAGAACCCCGAUUGCGAAGGCAGCAUGCCGGCUUCCGACUGACGCUGAAGCACGAAAGCGUGGGGAUCGAACAGGAUUAGAUACCCCCGUAAG
rnacentral:rRNA from 1 species